rnacentral:rRNA from 1 species
CUGCUCAAUGAUUUAUUAAAUAGCUGCAGUAUUUAUAACUGUACGAAGGUAGCAUAAUAAUUAGGUUUUUAAUUGAAAUCUAGAAUGAAAGAUUUAAUGAAAAAUAAACUGUUUCUUAUUAAAUAAUAAUUUAAAUUAUAAUUUAAGUAAAAAUACUUAAAUAAAAUUAAAAGACAAGAAGACCCUAUAGAAUUUUAUUAAAAAAUUUAUAAAUAAAAUUUUUAAUUUAAUAUUUAUAAAUAAUUUUAAUUUAAUUGGGAUAAUUUUAAAAUUUAAAUAAUUUUUAAAUUAAAUUUACAUAAUAAAUGUAAUUAAAUAUUUUAAUUUUAUAUAAUAAUUUAAAUUACCUUAGGGAUAACAGUAUAAUUUUAUUUAUUAGUUCUUAUAUAAAAUAAAUUUUAUAACCUCGAUGUUGAAUUAAAAAAAAAUUAAUAGAAAAAAUUUUAAUAUAUUAAGUCUGUUCGACU